AUUAAGUUGAUGAAAGAUAUGGUUGUUUUUCUGGUAAACUUGAAGGUCCUCUUGUCAAAUUGUGCAUCUUUAUCUCAUGAUGGAUCUCUGGUUGUUGGUGGGUUCUUCGAUUCAUCAAUAAAGGAGAAUGAAUAAGGACUACGAUUGCAACCUUUAAAGACGUAGAUGUGUACGACGUAGAGUUUUGUGUUGAGAAGACAUGUCUUGAGUAAGGAUGAAUCUACUAAAGUUGGACACUUUGAGGACUUCAAGAAAGAGAAGGAGAAGAUUAUGUUCAAGAAGAAAGUAGGAGACAUGAUUGAAGUUUGUCUUUCUGGUGUUAGAUUAAUUUUGUUUUAAACUUGGUAUGAUGUUAUGAAAAGGAUGGAUAAUGUAAUAUUACUGUUUUGUUGUUGAUGAUUGAUGAUUUAUGAAAUAUAAAAAGUA